rnacentral:rRNA from 1 species
GGCGAACGGCUGAGUAACACGUGGGCAACCUGCCCUUUGCACUGGGAUAGCCUCGGGAAACCGAGGUUAAUACCGGAUACUCCAUAUUUGUCGCAUGGCGAAUAUGGGAAAGCUCCGGCGGCAAAGGAUGGGCCCGCGGCCUGUUAGCUAGUUGGUGGGGUAGUGGCCUACCAAGGCAAUGAUGGGUAGCCGGGUUGAGAGACCGACCGGCCAGAUUGGGACUGAGACACGGCCCAGACUCCUACGGGAGGCAGCAGAU